GCCGGGCACAGUGGCGGGUGCCUGUAAUCCCAGCUACUGGGGAGGCUGAGGCAGGAGAAUCACUUGAACCCAGGAGGCGGAGGUUGCAGUGAGCCGAGAUCAAGCCAUUGCACUCCAGCUUGGGUGAAAGAGUGAGACUCUGUCUCAA
rnacentral:SRP_RNA from 2 species